rfam:Ovis aries breed Texel chromosome 3, whole genome shotgun sequence.
UCCCUGGCAGUCCAGUGAUUAAGACUCUGCACUUCCAGUAGAGAGGAGGCAGGUUCAAUCCCUGCCCAGGGAA